rnacentral:rRNA from 1 species
GACGAACGCUGGCGGCGUGCUUGACACAUGCAAGUCGAACGAUGAAGCCCAGCUUGCUGGGUGGAUUAGUGGCGAACGGGUGAGUAACACGUGGGCAACCUGCCCCAAACUCUGGGAUAACUCCUCGAAAGAGGUGCUAAUACCGGAUACGAACUAGGUAGACAUCUGCACUAGUUGGAAGGUUUUUCGGUUUGGGAUGGGCCCGCGGCCUAUCAGCUUGUUGGUGAGGUAACGGCUCACCAAGGCUACGCCGGGUAACCGGCCUGAGAGGGCGACCGGUCACACUGGGACUGAGACACGGCCCAGACUCCUACGGGAGGCAGCAGUGGGGAAUAUUGCGCAAUGGGCGAAAGCCUGACGCAGCGACGCCGCGUGAGGGAUGAAGGUCUUCGGAUCGUAAACCUCUUUCAGUAGGGACGAAGCGAAAGUGACGGUACCUAAAGAAGAAGCACCGGCUAACUACGUGCCAGCAGCCGCCGUAA